rnacentral:tRNA from 1 species
GGCGCUAUAGUGUAGUGGUCAUCACACGGGAUUUUGAUUCCCGUGACCCAGGUUCGAACCCUGGUAGUGCCU